UUGAAUACCGAUUGCAUAAUAGGUAUUAUGCUUAAAUGGAUUAUCUUAAUCAUAUUAUGCAAAUAUUUCGCAGCAUAUUUCAAUAUGAUCUAAAAACGCCAGAAGAUCUGUAUAAAUUAUUUGCUUUCUGCCAUUUAUUUUCUUGGACAAUUAUUUUGUGGAAACUUAACAUAUAAAAAAAGUCUAUGAAACAUCUCAGAAAGAUGCGUGUAUCCUAUUCUGUAUGUUACAUUCUCAUUAAGACAUAUUCUGCUCUGUUUAUUAUAAAAUGAUUCUAUAUCUGCAUAUUUUGAAUUAUUAAACGUUUGUUUAGCA